CUACGGGGCGCUGCAGUGGGGAAUAUUGGACAAUGGGGGAAACCCUGAUCCAGCAAUGCCGCGUGUGUGAAGAAGGCCUGCGGGUUGUAAAGCACUUUCGGUUGGGAGGACUGCUUCUAGCACUAAUAUUGUUGGAAGUUGACGUUACCUUCAGAAGAAGCACCGGCUAACUCCGUGCCAGCAGCCGCGGUAAUACGGAGGGUGCAAGCGUUAAUCGGAAUUACUGGGCGUAAAGCGCGCGUAGGCGGCUAGAUCAGUCGGGUGUGAAAGCCCCGGGCUUAACCUGGGAACUGCAUCCGAUACUGUCUAGCUUGAGUACAGGAGAGGAGAGUGGAAUUCCACAUGUAGCGGUGAAAUGCGUAGAUAUGUGGAUGAACACCAAUGGCGAAGGCAGCUCUCUGGCCUGAUACUGACGCUGAGGUGCGAAAGCGUGUGGAGCAAACAGGAUUAGAUACCCCUGUAGUC
rnacentral:rRNA from 1 species